rnacentral:rRNA from 1 species
CUACGGGGUGCAGCAGUGGGGAAUAUUGGGCAAUGGGCGCAAGCCUGACCCAGCAACGCCGCGUGAGGGAAGAAGGUUUUCGGAUUGUAAACCUCUGUCCUUGGGGACGAAGAAGUGACGGUACCCAAGGAGGAAGCUCCGGCUAACUACGUGCCAGCAGCCGCGGUAAUACGUAGGGAGCAAGCGUUGUCCGGAAUUACUGGGCGUAAAGGGUGCGUAGGCGGCAUAUUAAGUCAGGUGUGAAAUACUCGGGCUCAACCCGGGGGCUGCAUUUGAAACUGAUAUGCUUGAGUGUGAGAGAGGAAAGUGGAAUUCCUAGUGUAGCGGUGGAAUGCGUAGAUAUUAGGAGGAACACCAGUGGCGAAGGCGACUUUCUGGCUCAUAACUGACGCUGAGGCACGAAAGCGUGGGGAGCAAACAGGAUUAGAACCCUAGUAGUC